rnacentral:rRNA from 1 species
AUUGAACGCUGGCGGCAUGCCUUACACAUGCAAGUCGAACGGCAGCACGGGUGCUUGCACCUGGUGGCGAGUGGCGAACGGGUGAGUAAUACAUCGGAACGUACCUUAUCGUGGGGGAUAACGCAGCGAAAGCUGUGCUAAUACCGCAUACGCCCUGAGGGGGAAAGCGGGGGAUCGCAAGACCUCGCGAGAUUAGAACGGCCGCUGCCUGGUUAGCUUGUUGGUGGGGUAAAAGCCCACCUAGGCGACGAUCAGUAGCUGGUCUGAGAGGACGAUCAGCCACACUGGGACUGAGACACUGCCCAGACUCCUACGGGAGGCAGCAGUGGGGAAUUUUGGACAAUGGGGGCAACCCUGAUCCAGCGAUGCCGCGUGAGUGAAGAAGGCCUUCGGGUUGUAAAGCUCUUUUGUCAGGGAAGAAACACCGGCUCUAACACAGUCCGGGAAUGACGGUACCUGAAGAAUAAGCACCGGCUAACUACGUGCCAGCAGCCGCGGUAA